rnacentral:rRNA from 1 species
CCUACGGGAGGCAGCAGUGGGGAAUAUUGCACAAUGGGGGAAACCCUGAUGCUGCGACGCCGCGUGAGUGAAGAAGUAUUUCGGUACGUAAAGCUCUAUCAGUAGGGAAGAAAAUGACGGUACCUGACUAAGAAGCCCCGGCUAACUACGUGCCAGCAGCCGCGGUAAUACGUAGGGGGCAAGCGUUAUCCGGAUUUGCUGGGUGUAAAGGGAGCGUAGACGGCAGCGCAAGCCUGGGGUGAAAUCCCAUGGCUUAACCAUGGAACUGCUUAGGAAACUGGGCAACUAGAGUGAAGGUGAGGUAAGCGGAAGUCCUGGUGUAGCAGUGAAAUGCGUAGAUAUUGGGAGGAACACUAGGGGCGAAGGCGGGUUACUGGACAGUAACUGACGUUGAGGCACGAAGGCGAGGGGAGCAAACGGGAUUAGAUACCCGAGUAGUC